rnacentral:rRNA from 1 species
AUGAACGCUGGCGGCGUGCCUAAUACAUGCAAGUCGAGCGAACGGACGAGAAGCUUGCUUCUCUGAUGUUAGCGGCGGACGGGUGAGUAACACGUGGAUAACCUACCUAUAAGACUGGGAUAACUUCGGGAAACCGGAGCUAAUACCGGAUAAUAUUUUGAACCGCAUGGUUCAAAAGUAAAAGACGGUCUUGCUGUCACUUAUAGAUGGAUCCGCGCUGCAUUAGCUAGUUGGUAAGGUGACGGCUUACCAAGGCAACGAUGCAUAGCCGACCUGAGAGGGUGAUCGGCCACACUGGAACUGAGACACGGUCCAGACUCCUACGGGAGGCAGCAGUAGGGAAUCUUCCGCAAUGGGCGAAAGCCUGACGGAGCAACGCCGCGUGAGUGAUGAAGGUCUUCGGAUCGUAAAACUCUGUUAUUAGGGAAGAACAUAUGUGUAAGUAACUGUGCACAUCUUGACGGUACCUAAUCAGAAAGCCACGGCUAACUACGUG